AGGCCCCUAAGCCCCGCCUGUUAGGCUCCAGUGCCUGGGACUUGCGGUCGCCAGUGGCGCGGUAUAGGCUGCCUGCUGCCCUUGGUCCGUGCGCCCGUUGUCGUGUGUGGACAACCAGCAAGGCCACAGCGUGGGGACUGUAGUUCUUAGGGUACUUAGCAGGUGCCAUAUUUACAGUAAGGAGAGGCACUGCCCAGGACCAGGCCUUCGUUGAACAAAAGCUCAAAUCAUAAAAUAAUCGGGACCACAAUGGGUUCUGGUCUCAGAAGAUGUAGGUCAUUGGCCACCAGUGGGAGGAAAAAUAAAGCAUAUGAUACAUAUUGGGGCUUCAGGACAAUACAAAGAAAUUUG